rnacentral:rRNA from 1 species
ACGGCUCAGUAACACGUGGAUAACCUGCCCAAGGGUCUGGGAUAACCCCGGGAAACUGGGGAUAAUACCGGAUGGAUCACUAGUGCUGGAAUGCUUGGUGGUCGAAAGGCAACGCCUUUGGAUGGGUCUGCGGCGGAUUAGGUUGACGCCGGUGUAACGUACCGGCGUGCCUGUAAUCCGUACGGGUUGUGGGAGCAAGAGCCCGGAGAUGGAUUCUGAGACACGAAUCCAGGCCCUACGGGGCGCAGCAGGCGCGAAAACUCUACAAUGCAGGCAACUGCGAUAGGGGGACAUCGAGUGGCAUCCACCUUGGGUGCCUGUCCCACCGUCUAAAAAACGGUGGUUAGCAAGGGCCGGGCAAGACCGGUGCCAGCCGCCGCGGUAAUACCGGCGGCUCGAGUGGUGGCCGAUAUUAUUGAGUCUAAAGGGUCCGUAGCCGGCUCUGCAAGUCCCCUGGGAAAUCCAGCGGCUUAACCGUUGGGCUUUCAUGGGAUACUACAUUGCUUGGGACUGGGAGAGGUAGGAGGUACUCGGGGGGUAGGGGUGAAAUCCUGUAAUCCCCCGGGGACCACCGGUGGCGAAGGCGUCCUACCAGAACAGGUCCGACGGUGAGGGACGAAAGCUAGGGGCACGAACCGGAUUAGAUACCCGGGUAGUCCUAGCCGUAAACGAUGCCCGCUAGGUGUCACGGCGGUCGUGAAUCGCCGUGGUGCCGUAGGGAAGCCGCGAAGCGGGCCACUUGGGAAGUACGGCCGCAAGGCUGAAACUUAAAGGAAUUGGCGGGGGAGCAC